GGUGGGGCCAUGACAAAUCAUAGAGAUACAUAUUUGGACGAGGGGCAAGGCUGUAAAAGACAACAAGCAAACAAGAGCAACUAAUGUAUAAAAGACCACAUUGGACUGAAGUGAUCAUCGAGCGGAAGAAGCGUAAACUGACGAGUCGACGACAGGCUACAGUGGUGAACACGACAAUGAAGUGGUUGAUCUUGGCUUUCUGCGUCGCCGUGCUGGUCACAGCUGGUGAAGCUCUGCAAUGCCAUUCCUGUAUUAAAACAUAUGCGGGACCAUGUUUCCCUCACACCUCAACGUGUGAACCGGGCCAAGUCUGCCGUGACGAUACAGUCAACAACGGACAGUAUUGCGCAUGGCCGUGAAUGUGACAGCAGACAAACCACCAACUUGAAGUGCUCCAGAAUGGACCACUGCGAUCAUCCUUUCAUAAAAGCAUCAAAGGACUGGAGGGUGUUGGUG